GAUGAACGCUAGCGGCAGGCUUAACACAUGCAAGUCGAGGGGCAGCGCGGGAUAGCAAUAUCCUGGCGGCGACCGGCGGAAGGGUGCGUAACGCGUGAGCGACAUGCCCGUUGCCCGGGGACAACCGGUGGAAACGCCGACUAAUCCCCGAUGGGAUAUUGUGCCGCAUGGCACGAUAUUGAAAGUUACGGCGGCGACGGAUUGGCUCGCGUCCGAUUAGCUUGUUGGCGGGGUAACGGCCCACCAAGGCUGCGAUCGGUAGGGGUCCUGAGAGGAAGGCCCCCCACAAUGGGACUGAGACACGGCCCAUACUCCUACGGGAGGCAGCAGUGAGGAAUAUUGGUCAAUGGGCGGAAGCCUGAACCAGCCAUGCCGCGUGCGGGAAGGAGGCCCUAUGGGCUGUGAACCGCUUUUGCCUGGGGGCAAUAAGGGCGUCGCGCACGUCCGAUGAGAGUACCAGGCGAAUAAGCAUCGGCUAACUCCGUG
rnacentral:rRNA from 1 species